AUCUUUGAGAACUUUAUAUUAAAUGGAUUUUUGAAGAAGGGAGGUGGAAUAGGAGCUUGCUCCAUCCACUCCAUGCAUCAACCUGGUAUUCCAGUGUUUCCAGGAAUGGUGCACCUCUC
rnacentral:snRNA from 1 species